AUGUUCUCAUUCACUAUCUACUUCUCAUGUUCUUACACGGCAUGGAUAUUUCACUUUGCUUGUACUCUCUGACAUUCAUCAUGCAUCAUCAUUGCAAUCUUCAAGAGUCCAACCAUAGCUCCGAGGAGUAGCAGAUAACAUUGAAGUGAGUAAUGCUGAUGCAGUCGCAGUAUGAAAUGGAAACAUCGAUUCCACUCUAACACAACUCAUUUCUACCGGCGACCUGAAAAUGCGAGCGGUGACUGGUUUUUGAGUUGGUAUGCGGAAUGGAGAUGUCUUUGGCUUGGCGCCGGAAGCAAUUCUUGUGGUUGCUGCUGAUCGGCCGGAGGUGGCGGCGGAGCGGAGGAAGGACCUGGCGGCGAAAGUGGCCAUAAUUGUAAAAGGGAAAUGAGAAGAGCGAAG
rnacentral:misc_RNA from 1 species